rnacentral:rRNA from 1 species
UACGUAGGAGGCGAGCGUUGUCCGGAAUUACUGGGCGUAAAGAGCGCGUAGGUGGCGCGAUACGACCGGUGUGAAAUCCUCCGGCUCAACUGGAGGGGGUCACUGGUAACGGUCGUGCUAUGAGUGCAGGAGAGGGAAGUGGAACUCCGGGAGUAGCGGUGAAAUGCGUAGAGACCGGAGGAACACCGACGGCGCAGGCAGCGUCCUGGCCGCUUGCUGACACUGAGGCACGGAAGCUGGGGGAGCAAACAGG